CCGCUCGCCGCCCGCCCGGCGGGGCGGGGGUGGGGGCGGCUCUGUCCCGUCGGGAUCGUGCUGGCCCCGCUCCGCGAGCGGGAGGGAAGCUACCCGCAAAACCGGAGGGGACGGAGCUGGCAGAGAGCAGCAAGAGAGACUGCCAUUUUGACUCAGAAGACCUGAGGUUAGUCUGGAGCCUCCCACUCCAUAAGCCCUGAGAAGCUCCAGGAAGCUGUGGCAGCAGUGGAGGACUGAGGACCAGCAGAGCCUAUAGGUGACCUGCUGGAAACUAGGGACUGUCCACGGUGUCAUCUUACCCCAAACCUACCCAUGACAGCUGCCUGUUAUACCUGAUAACAUCCUGGCACCCAAAAGAGCCCACUACUCUUACCAGACUUGGAUGGAAGAAGUGGAAGGCAAGUCUGAGGAAUAAGUAUUGCAUUAUUAUGUUGAAUAAAUGGUAGGUUAGCAGUUGUUACAAACUAAGUAGGAUCUAAAUGACUUAACACCCCUGCAAUCUGUGUCUGUUCUCCUUUUAGACUACUCUGCUCCUUAAUCUCUUUUUAUAUAAUCUCUAUUUUAUUGUAAGUCAUAUUGUGUGUAUUGAGCAACUAGGUUUACUUGCUGAUCCCCAGAAUCUCAGCUACCACUGGUAGUUGGGGAGGUACCAGAGUCCCUGCAGGGAGAGCAACAGGGGACUCCACUGCUCUGAAGGAUUAGGGUACCUCAUCAAGAACUGGGUAUUACAGCAUCUGUGGAGGGUCACUAGAGGUUGAUUGCCUUCUUUUGGUACCAUGAAGUGCAGUAGGCUGAAAUGACUUGUCUAAGAUCUUAAAGCAAGACAGUGACAGAGCUGGAAAUAAUCCCUGAAGGCAAAAGCUAUUUGUAACAUAUUUUCUGCAAAUAUUGCAUUAUUUGAAAGGUUUCCAGUUGAUUAUUGCAAAUUUAAAAAGAAAUAAAAUUUGUGCAUUACUGAACUUUUGGGGUCCAUGUUUGUUUUUAAAUCCAAGGAUGCCUGUGUCUGUCUUAUGCUACUACUCAUCCACUGUCUUAAAUCCACCUUGCAUGUAAUUUUUAAGUUUUCCUAGCUGUAACUCCACUGAUUCUAAUUUGUUGUAAUUUACAUUCUGAAGAGACAGGACAGACUAUGGUCCAAUAAAAACAAGUAACAAGAAGGUGUAAGAAAGCAAUGGCUAAAGCAUGGUGGGAACCUCCAUCAUUAACUUUAUGCCUUAUUUAGUGCACCUUAUUCUAGUUCCUUUGUAUCUUUUAAAAUGACACAAUUUAAAAGUCCCUUAUAUUUCCUAUGACUCUGAGACAAUCUCUAAGAUUUUAAUCUGCUUGAAGUCACUGGCAAAACUGUUCUGGACUUCAGUCCAGAACUUAUCUUUUGUACUUCUGUGUACACUUGAUAGCAUAAAACUUAACCUGCCUUAUUCAUCAUCUUUGUUCCCUAGCCUUAGAAACAGCUUAGCCAGAACAAAUAGUGAAUGUCCUGCAGAAGUGGCUUUAGAUUCCAUAAAGUUACUCUCCUUUCUGCAAAAACUGUGCUAUCCUUAGUCAUGAUCUGAAUCAUGUUUUGACCCCAAAUGAGCAAACCCCCAGACCAUUACAUAGUAGCAUCAAAAAAAAAUUACUAGGUUGCAAUUGCCUCUUAAGGAUUAUGUUAAACAUUUUAAUUAGUUUGCAUUUCCUUUGGUCACUUACUUUUUUCAAAGCUGUAAACUGGUUCAUUAGCCAGCACACCACAUAUCUGGCUAAUCUGGAUGCCCACAUGUAAUAAAUAUUACGGAUAUCAUGCAGACAGGCCAAAGUUUCUAACACUUCUCAAACAUCAGGUAGUCUUCAAAACUCAGAAAAAAGGUUACUGCUGUCUGGAUAUUUAACAAAAUAUUUUUUAAGAAAGAGAAGAUACUUGGGUAAGAUAGAUACAUUCACAUUUCCUGCAUCUACCUUCUGAAGUAAUUCAGGAACUAGCCCAAGUAAGUACUGAAUCAUUUCCAGAUAUUUCAGAUAUCUUUGAAAACUCAUGGAGGACAGAGGAGACAGUAGAGGACUGAGAAAGGGAAACAUAAUAGCUUUUUCUAAAAGAGAAGUGACCCCAAGGUAGCCAGGUAGCCUAACUAACUUUCACCCCUGGAUUCUGGGAAAAAUUGUUAAAUAAGCAGUUUCUAAAGGCCUAGAACAUGCUAAGUUGAUAAAAGCUUGCUGACACACCUCUGUCACGAAUAUAUCAUGUCAAACAAAACUGAUUUUCUUCUUCACUAUCUUGCCUGGUAGAUACAGAUGAAGCAGGGAAAAUUACAUAGAUUUUAGUAAGGCUUCUGACUCUGUUCCCUAUUGUUUUUUAUAAGUAACUAAAGAAGUACAGCCUAGAUGAAAUCACUAGAAAGUAAGGACGGAUGAGGGCCACUGAUCAAAAAAUACUGCGUUGAAGAAGUGGUUAUUGGUGGCUUACAGUCAGUUUGAGAUGGCAUUUCAUGUAGGCUUUAGGAGUCUGAGGACAGUUCUCUUCAAUGGGAUGGGAUGAGUGACUAGACCAUAUGC